rnacentral:rRNA from 1 species
CCUACGGGGCGCACCAGGGAGGAAUAUUGGACAAUGGGCGAAAGCCUGAUCCAGCAAUGCCGCGUGUGUGAAGAAGGUCUUCGGAUUGUAAAGCACUUUCGGCGGGGACGAUGAUGACGGUACCCGUAGAAGAAGCCCCGGCUAACUUCGUGCCAGCAGCCGCGGUAAUACGAAGGGGGCUAGCGUUGCUCGGAAUGACUGGGCGUAAAGGGCGCGUAGGCGGUUUAUGCAGUCAGAUGUGAAAUCCCCGGGCUUAACCUGGGAACUGCAUUUGAGACGCAUAGACUAGAGGUCGAGAGAGGGUUGUGGAAUUCCCAGUGUAGAGGUGAAAUUCGUAGAUAUUGGGAAGAACACCGGUGGCGAGGGCGGCAACCUGGCUCGAUACUGACGCUGAGGCGCGAAAGCGUGGGGAGCAAACAGGAUUAGAUACCCUCGUAGUC